rnacentral:rRNA from 1 species
GACGAACGCUGGCGGCGCGCUUAACACAUGCAAGUCGAGCGAUGAAACUUUAACAGAACCCUUCGGGGCGAAGAUAAAGGGGAUUAGCGGCGGACGGAUGAGUAACACGUGAGUAACCUGCCUUAGACAUUGGGAUAGCCUCGGGAAACCGGGAUUAAUACCAAAUAAAAUCAUAAUGACACAUGUCAUAACGAUCAAAACUCCGGUGGUCUAAGAUGGACUCGCGUCCCAUUAGCUAGUUGGUAGAGUAAAAGCCUACCAAGGCGACGAUGGGUAGCCGGGAUGGGAGGGUGAACGGCCACAUUGGAACUGAGGAACGGUCCAAACUCCUACGGGAGGCAGCAGUGGGGAAUAUUGCACAAUGGAGGGAACUCUGAUGCAGCGACGCCGCGUGAACGAAGAAGGCUUUCGAGUCGUAAAGUUCUUUUAUAUGGGAAGAUAAUGACGGUACCAGAAGAAAAAGCCCCGGCUAACUACGUG